AACUUUUAGCAACGGAUCACUUGGGUCUCCCAUCGAUGAAGAACGCAGCGAAAUGCGAUAAGUAAUGCGAAUUGCAGAAUUCCAGUGAGUCAUCGAAUCUUUGAACGCACAUUGCGCCCUUUGGUAUUCCGAAGGGCAUGCCUGUUCGAGCGUCAUUAUCACCCCUCAAGCCCCGUGCUUGGUGUUGGACGGCUUGGUCGCGUCACCGCGACUCCUCCUAAAGACAAUGACGGCGGCCUGUGGGUCCCCCGGUACACUGAGCUUUUAAUUGAGCACGUAUUGGAUAAGGGCACCCGGGACCCGGUCUUCUCCCUUUACCGGGAAAUUUUUCAAUGGUUGACCUCGGAUCAGGUAGGAAUACGCGCUGACCUUAAGCAUAUCAAUAAGCGGAGGCU
rnacentral:misc_RNA from 1 species